rnacentral:rRNA from 1 species
GAUCAUGGCUCAGGAUGAACGCUAGCGACAGGCUUAACACAUGCAAGUCGAGGGCAUCACGGGAGUAGCAAUACAACUGGUGGCGACCGGCGCACGGGUGAGUAACGCGUAUGCAACCUACCUAUCAGGAGGGGAAUAACCCGGCGAAAGUCGGACUAAUACCGCAUAAAACAGGGGCACCGCAUGGUGAUAUUUGUUAAAGAAAUUCGCUGAUAGAUGGGCAUGCGUUCCAUUAGGUAGUUGGUGAGGUAACGGCUCACCAAGCCGACGAUGGAUAGGGGAACUGAGAGAUUGGUCCCCCACACUGGUACUGAGACACGGACCAGACUCCUACGGGAGGCAGCAGUGAGGAAUAUUGGUCAAUGGGCGGGAGCCUGAACCAGCCAAGUCGCGUGAAGGAAGAAGGAUCUAUGGUUCGUAAACUUCUUUUGCAGGGGAAUAAAGUGCAGGACGUGUCCUGUUUUGUAUGUACCCUGAGAAUAAGGAUCGGCUAACUCCGUGCCAGCAGCCGC